GUUUAUAAUAAUCACGGUUUCUACUAUUUAUUUUUUUUUUACCUACAGUACAGAACCUCUGAAAGGAGCAAGAAAUAUUUCCAACAUGAAAGACGCCUUUUUUACUUGCAUCAUAUGUAUCAUCUUGCCUUUCUUGAUAUGGCAUCAUCCAGAAGGAGGCUGGAGCAGAACAACCAGUUUGCAGCUGUUGAAAAAGCAUACAGCGUCCACGAUCUGGUGAAUUAUUUAUUUCCAAGAGAACACAAAUCAGCAGGUGCCACUGAGAAAGAGAUGGAGGAAAACACAUUUCCUGUUUUGGCUGGAAAGAAGCAGCAGGGACAGCACUGCGAGAGAUCUUCCAAAGCAUACAAAGUUUUUGAUGAAUUGAGGAAUGAAGAUAAUGGAGUCACAGAAAUUCCAGAGCAUUGGAAAUCCAGUGCCAGUACUUUAGCCCCACUAGAAAUGAACCCUGUGCCUCUGACUCUUCAAGAGGUGGCUUUGAAGCAUCCAGUGCUGGAAGUUAAAUCAAGACUUACUCGUUGGACUAAUCCUUCAGACAAAGAAGAAAUCUAAACUGGAAAAGCAUAAUUAAAAUGUAGAAGCUAGAAAUUGCCUUCUUAUAAUUUCUCAAAAAGCUACACCAGGUACAAACUAGAUAUAAAUACUUGGAAGUCUUAGUAUUAAAGAUCAUCCUUGCCGUGCAUGAAGAUAAGAAUUUCUGCUGCCCUUUUAUCUUCUUCUUCUGCAACAAUUCUGCAAAGUAAUUUUUCAGAAUGAUUGGUAUCGCUGCAACUGAAAGCUUAUGCUGGUAUCAUGAAACAUGAAUUUUUCAGUUUGAGGUAAUGUACUUACAGUACCAAAAAUCAUAAAACCAGAGAUUUUUUUGAUGUUGUGCUACAACCAAGUUGGAUACAAAUGUUUUCCUGUGUAAGAUGUUCCAUGUACCAGUACGUACAAGCAACAAAACUGGAUAUGAAUCAAUAAAUUAAGCUCCUCAGGAAACA
rnacentral:lncRNA from 1 species